CUGGCUUCCGCACAUAUGACAGGUUCCUCUCUCCCGUGGAGGUUGGGUGAGCAUUAGCGACAGUCACCGAGGAAAAGAAUACAGGCUUUGCAGAUCUGGAUUCAAAUACCCAUUAAUUAGGGAUAUGACCUUGGGCAAGAAAAAUCUUAGCGUCGUGGCAGAAAAAACAUUGAAUUAUUAAAGUCUGGGCUUAAGAAGCUGAGGAGAGGUGCUUUAUGAACACCACUGUGUUAAAUCCAUUUCCCUGUGGACUGGUGAUUUUAUUUUCCGAAAUUCACGGUGACAUGCUCCUUUGACUCAUGGAGGGUGGCAGGCACAUUGCUUUAUGAGGUAGUCUCCUGGUUGAAAAAAAAUGCCCUGGAACCGAAAGGAGAAGGAACAGCAAAAGGGGAGUUCUCCCGUCUGGAAAAGAGUCCCAGUGGGCAGCUCAUCUCACAGUUAGCUAUGAAGGACACGCUGGAUGCCAAGACUGAGUUGGUCUGGGUUGUUAUGUUUGGAAACGAUGAGCGAGGUCACGUGGGGAUGAGAUCAGUCAUGCCCAGCAUUUAGAGGAGAGCGGAGGACUGAAAACAGAAGCAUCUCAGCGAAGACCAACCUCUGAGGGGCAGACGGAGAAGAAGCGUGGAAAGAAGGCCAACAUGGAGCAAGAGGUGAGAACAACCCAGGAGACAGGGCGGUUACGAGAGCCGGCAGAGAAAACAUCGGCAAGGAGGGAGGGAUCAAAAACACGUACCUGGCGAACGAAGGCAGAGGCGGCUAAUGAACCCGGAGAAGUCUCCGUAGAAAGGUGGGGACAGAGCCGAUGACUGUGUGGGCUGAGCCGUGGCAGGGAGCAAAGUAGAACAAAUGUCAAGUUACUUGCUCUGUG